CCUUCUCAAACAUUCUGUUUGGUAGUGAGUGAUACUCUUUGGAGUUAACUUGAAAUUGCUGGCCUUAAAGCGAA
rnacentral:misc_RNA from 1 species